rnacentral:rRNA from 1 species
UACAGAGGGGGCAAGCGUUGUUCGGAAUUACUGGGCGUAAAGGGCGCGUAGGCGGCCUGUUAAGUCGAACGUGAAAUCCCCGGGCUCAACCCGGGAACUGCGUCCGAAACUGGCAGGCUCGAAUUCGGGAGAGGGAUGCGGAAUUCCAGGUGUAGCGGUGAAAUGCGUAGAUAUCCGGAGGAACACCAGAGGCGAAGGCGGCCUACUGGGCUGCACCUGACGCUGAGCCGCGAAAGCCAGGGGAGCGAACGGG